rnacentral:rRNA from 1 species
GAUGAACGCUGGCGGCGUGCCUAAUACAUGCAAGUCGAGCGAACGGACGAGAAGCUUGCUUCUCUGAUGUUAGCGGCGGACGGGUGAGUAACACGUGGAUAACCUACCUAUAAGACUGGGAUAACUUCGGGAAACCGUAGCUAAUACCGGAUAAUAUUUUGAACCGCAUGGUUCAAAAGUGAAAGACGGUCUUGCUGUCACUUAUAGAUGGAUCCGCGCUGCAUUAGCUAGUUGGUAAGGUAACGGCUUACCAAGGCAACGAUGCAUAGCCGACCUGAGAGGGUGAUCGGCCACACUGGAACUGAGACACGGUCCAGACUCCUACGGGAGGCAGCAGUAGGGAAUCUUCCGCAAUGGGCGAAAGCAUGACGGAGCAACGCCGCGUGAGUGAUGAAGGUCUUCGGAUCGUAAAACUCUGUUAUUAGGGAAGAACAUAUGUGUAAGUAACUGUGCACAUCUUGACGGUACCUAAUCAGAAAGACACGGCUAACUACGUG